rnacentral:rRNA from 1 species
GACGAACGCUGGCGGCGUGCCUAAUACAUGCAAGUUGAGCGCUGAAGGUUGGUACUUGUGCCAACUGGAUGAGCAGCGAACGGGUGAGUAACGCGUGGGGAAUCUGCCUUUGAGCGGGGGACAACAUUUGGAAACGAAUGCUAAUACCGCAUAAAAACUUUAAACACAAGUUUUAAGUUUGAAAGAUGCAAUUGCAUCACUCAAAGAUGAUCCCGCGUUGUAUUAGCUAGUUGGUGAGGUAAAGGCUCACCAAGGCGAUGAUACAUAGCCGACCUGAGAGGGUGAUCGGCCACAUUGGGACUGGGACACGGCCCAAACUCCUACGGGAGGCAGCAGUAGGGAAUCUUCGGCAAUGGACGAAAGUCUGACCGAGCAACGCCGCGGGAGUGAAGAAGGUUUUCGGAUCGUAAAACUCUGUUGGUAGAGAAGAACGUUGGUGAGAGUGGAAAGCUCAUCAAGUGACGGUAACUACCCAGAAAGGGACGGCUAACUACGUG